rnacentral:rRNA from 1 species
AGGCGCGAAACCUCUGCAAUAGGCGAAAGCUUGACAGGGUUACUCUGAGUGACGUCCGUUAAGGACGUCUUUUGGCACCUCUAAAAAUGGUGCAGAAUAAGGGGUGGGCAAGUCUGGUGUCAGCCGCCGCGGUAAUACCAGCACCCCGAGUGGUCGGGACGAUUAUUGGGCCUAAAGCAUCCGUAGCCGGUUCUGCAAGUCUUCCGUUAAAUCCACCUGCUCAACAGAUGGGCCGCGGAGGAUACUACAGGGCUAGGAGGCGGGAGAGGCAAGCGGUACUCAGUGGGUAGGGGUAAAAUCCUCUGAUCCACUGAAGACCACCAGUGGCGAAGGCGGCUUGCCAGAACGCGCUCGACGGUGAGGGAUGAAAGCUGGGGGAGCAAACCGGAUUAGAUACCCGGGUAGUCCCAGCUGUAAACGAUGCAGACUCGGUGAUGGGUUGGCUUCGAGCCAACCCAGUGCCGCAGGGAAGCCGUUAAGUCUGCCGCCUGGGGAGUACGGUCGCAAGACGGAAACUUAAAGGAAUUGGCGGGGGAGC